UGACAACGUGUGCUACGCCUGCGCAAGCC
rnacentral:sRNA from 1 species